CCUACGGGAGGCAGCAGUCGAGAAUCAUUCACAAUGGGGGAAACCCUGAUGGUGCGACGCCGCGUGGGGGAAUGAAGGUCUUCGGAUUGUAAACCCCUGUCAUGUGGGAGCAAAUCAAAAAGAUAGUACCACAAGAGGAAGAGACGGCUAACUCUGUGCGAGCAGCCGCGGUAAUACAGAGGUCUCAAGCGUUGUGCGGAAGCACUGGGCGUAAAGCGUGCGUAGGCUGUUUUGUAAGUCGUGUGUGAAAGGCGCGGGCUCAACCCGCGGACGGCAGAUGAUACUGCGAGACUUGAGUAAUGUAGAGGGAGGCGGAAUGCUCGGUGUAGCAGUGAAAUGCGUAGAUAUCGAGAGGAACACUCGUGGCGAAGGCAGGUUCCUGGACAUUAACUGACGCUGAGGCACGAAGGCCAGGGGAGCGAAAGGGAUUAGAUACCCUUGUAGUC
rnacentral:rRNA from 1 species